UACGAAGGGGGCUAGCGUUGUUCGGAAUCACUGGGCGUAAAGCGCACGUAGGCGGAUUUGUUAGUCAGGGGUGAAAUCCCGGGGCUCAACCUCGGAACUGCCUUUGAUACUGCAAAUCUCGAGUCCGGAAGAGGUGAGUGGAAUUCCUAGUGUAGAGGCGAAAUUCGUAGAUAUUAGGAAGAACACCAGUGGCGUAGGCUGCUCACUGGUCCGGUACUGAGGCUGAGGUGCGAAAGCGUGGGGAGUAACCAGG
rnacentral:rRNA from 1 species